UCUGGCUAGGACUCUAACCGAGCCGCACCACCUCUCUCCCACGAUGGUUCCUGGGUUUCUCUCUCGACCGUCCUUUUCACUUGCCUUAGCUUGUUUUAGACGCCAACCAAACGAAAUAGCGUCUUUUCAACGCCAAAUUGCCCAACACUAUAAAAACCGUUCCCUUUACUCACAAAAUCUUAGAUCUCAGAUUUCAGAUAUCAAAUCUCAGAUCGUUUCUUACUCUCUUUGAAGAAAUUGUGUUGCGAUGGCUGAUUUUCGUCUCCAAGGUCUUUGUCAAUCUCAAUUCACAGAGAUUGCUGCUGAAAGAGCUAAAGUAGCUGCAGAGGAAUAUUUCAAGUCGGGAAACAUCGACAGAGCUAUUCAGCAAGGGUUCGCAGCACUCGAUUUGAACCCCAAUUUACGGAUCGUGCAGAAGUACAUUGCCGCCUAUUUGAUUCACAAGUUUGCUUCUAUGUUAAGUCUUUGCCAGAAAAUGAAGGUAGACGAUACCAAAGUUCUGUACUCCAUUCUUUUUAUCGAAGAUUGUUCUGCCGUAGUUGAUGCUGCGACUAUUAGAAAACACUACAAGGAAGUGGUACUAUUGGUCCAUCCGGACAAGAAUGAUUCAGUUGCAGCAGAUGGUGCUUUCAAGAUCGUUCGUCAGGCUUGGGAAACUCUCUUAUCUGAUCGCAACAAAAGAAGAAAGACUCGAUGAGGAUGAAGUUUUUUGGUUUGGAUUAGAUUCAUUUUGAUAUGUAUUCAAAUUUUUUAUGAAUAACAUGUAGUUAGUUUUUAUUUUGUUCUGAUUUGGUUACUUUGUUGAGAUUCAAUUUGAUUUUGAUUUUUAGUGUCAGUCCAAUUUCAUAAUUGAUCACAAUUAUGAUUAAGCAUUCCAAGUUAAAAUGCUACCAUCAUCAAUCCAUAAUAUAAUAUACAGAGUAAAUUGAAGCAAAUUAUUUGAAGAAUAUUCUGAUGUGGGUUUUUUAGGCAAUGAACGUUUUCUUUAAGCUUUCAGAUUUUAUUUUGUUAAAAUAAAUUUCUUUGUGUUAUAUAUUUUGUAAGUCUCUUUCGUUAGCUUGAAAUUGAAUUCUGGGUUCAAGAGGUUAUUGUAUUAAGUAACUAUGUGUUUUGCUUGCUUCAGUGUUUGUAUCGGUGCUGCAGUUAUUCACUUUCCUUCUGAUUUGAUACAAUCAAACUAAAAAAAAGAAGGAAAAAAAUUUUUUUUCACAAAAGUUACUAUAAUAUUUUUCUUUUUAUGGGUGAUAGUUUGUUGAUUAUUCAUUAUUUCAGUGUCAAUUCUUUAUUUUUGGCUUAAGUUAAACAGGCAUUGAAAAACCAAUACUUGCUUGCAAAAGAAGAACCAUAUCAGUUCUACGUGCCUUUUGAUUCUUCAAUUGUUAUCAAAUGCUUGCUCAUGUUGUCCAGAUGUUCCCAAAUGAUGUUUCCUUGGGCGAUAUCAUUGACGCUGCAAAGUCUUUCAGGUUUGUUAUUCGGUUUUUCUCACUUAGAGGUUGAAUCACAAUUUAUCAUAUGUUUAUUUUUGCAUAAGUGUGCAUGUGUAGUAGUAUAAGGCUGUUAAAGGGAAUAUAAUUUGUCAGUUUUUAUACAUAGCAAACCCUAAGUGUGAUUUCUUGGAAAAGCAGAAGUCCAAUAAUGGACUAUACACGUUCCUCUUUUAUCAUUACUCAUAUCUUAGCCUAAAUUACUCUUGUUGUUUCUGUGCUAAAAGUAAUGCUGCUAAUAUCUAGUUCUGGCCAACUUUUGCUGAGCUGUUUGCAAUAAUUGUUGUAUACGCAUUUAUGUAAAGGUACAUUUUUUCUUGGGCCUUAAUUCACUUACCAUGUAGUUCUCUCCUGAAUCAUGUUUCUGUCCCAUUUAUAAAUGUUAGGCUAUGAUUUGAAUUGCCUUGUUAAGGAAGCAUUAUCUAUUGAAAUGUUGCUGGCAGCUAUCCUCUAACUUAAGGGUGCAGGAGACACGGUCUUCAUUGGAGUGGUUUGUGGGAAAAGUACAAGACAUGAUUAUCUAAAUACUUUGAGACGAUCUAUAGUGAAGGGUUCAAAUGAAUCAAGGUGAGAGGUUUAAAGAAGCUGAUCAGUUUUGCACUUCAUUGCCUUUGUCAUAUAAAAGUUUUAAUCUCUAUUCACCCACCAAAAAGGAGGAAUAGGAAAGAGAAUUGCAAAAGUGGAAGCUUUUUUACAUUUGCAUAAUGCCUGAUGCAGGCAUACGUUUAAGUACUUAGAGAGAGAUGAGACAAUGGUAGCUCACUUGGUGGGGGAAUUGAUGCAUUCAUAAAGCUGUCUCAAAGUUAGCUGCUAUCAAAAUCUCUAUUCAAUGUUGUAUAUACUUUCUAAAAUUUGAAGUCUAUGUUCCAAAUUCUGAGGAAAUCAUUGGUAGAGAUAUCACCGGGAUCGGAUCUCGGUACAAUAUACAUCUCAACACCUGUGGAGAAAUGUUAGUUAUGUUUCUGUUAGUAGCUUUUGUACUAGUGUAAUUUUUAUUACAAAAAUCAGUCAUGUAGGGUGCCUAGUGAUUUGAUUAUGAUAAUUGAUUUCCACGGUAAGAUGUACAAGUUUGGGUACUCCAGGACCAGAUCUCCAUUGCAGUGAUGUGGAAAGUUCAAGGAAAACGUUGUCAAGGGUCAUAAAUAUUGUGAAAGAAUUAACUCUAGCAUUUGUUUUUAAUUUACACUAGAUCUUCUGUCUGCUCGUGAGUAACGGGUUUUGCUUGUUUUCAUGACUUUUUCUUUAAAUUUAUCAUCACUAUUCACAAUGAUAUAUAUGAAUGAUAAUUAAAGAUAUAUUAAAAGAUAAUGACAAGAAAGUAUUGAGUUGUUCAGCUUUAAUUAUUUGGCACAGGCAAUGAGUCAAUGAGGGCAAAUGCUAUUGGCAGUUGUGUUGUGCUCAACCAUGGAGGAGGUUGCGCGGUAGACAAGAUGCUCAUGGAGUUUGCUUCACCGUCAAUAAUCCAUAUGAUACUUCUAUUUGUUGUUAUCCUCGUUAAUUCAUUUUUAAUUUUAUUAUUAUUUAUCUUUUUAAAAAUUGAUUUUACUAGAAUUCUGAUCAAUUUUGCUUUUCUAAUUUAAAUACUGUCUUUUAUGGUUUCUUUAUGCCUUGUAUAUUGGUGCACAGUAUGAUGCAUUUAACUUGAUAUACAUAAGAUGCACAAUAUGAUACAUUUAAUUUGAUAUUGCAUUACAGGUAGAAGACUUUAGGCAGCAGGGAACUAAGAUGAGAAGAAAGAUGUGGCUUCAGAAUAUGAAGAUAAAAUUGAUUGUUUUGGGUAUCCUUAUUGCCCUGAUUCUUAUCAUUGUGCUGUCAGUCUGCCACGGCUUCAAAUGUUAAUCUGUCUUGGAUUUCCCUCGUACCGCUCUUGCUGCCAGGGAUGUCUUGAUAGAUUGGUUUGUCUUACUUGUUUUUUUAGGGCAUAUAUUUCUCCCUUUGCUUGCGGUUUAGGAUAGGGGGAGGCUUUGUAUCUUGGUUGGCUGUAUAGGUUAUAGUUUGAACUUGUUACGGUAGAUAAAAAUUUCUAUGGAGGAUUUCUUCUUUAUACUGUGAUGGGGGUAUACUCGGAUUCCUGCAUAUCAUAUUUGUCCUUUUGAAAUGUUAUUAAUCUGUUUUUUUGGUUUUUGUCGCUUAUCAUGUAAAUCCUUUUGUAUGCAUUUCUCUUUUAGACGUAAGAGGAGACAGUUGGUUUUGUAAAAUUUUUUAAUGCUUAGGAGCCUAUGGUUGCAUGAGUAGCUCGGUGUCUUUGCCUUCCGCAGAGAAGGUCUUCAGCUCUAAUGAUUAGAGCGAUGUGUAUGAUUGAUUUUCCCCGCUCCCCUUGAAGUCUUGUUUUGAGGAUCUAUUCUUUCUCCAGAGAGAAAUUUGGGGAAUAAGUAAAGAAUUUUGAUGAAGGGUUGUUUUGUCAAAAAAUAAAAAACUAGUUUGACUACGAAACAAAUCGAAUUUUAUACGGUAGUUGGUUCUUUUUCGAUUUUACAUUAUUCCAAUAAAAGGAGUUAGCAUAUUUUUGCUUGAAAACAAUCCAAUUUGAGUUUCUAACCUUAAAUCGAGUUUGAGCAAUGAAAAUUAAUGUCUACAUGAACAGAUUAUAAUAUGUGAACAACUGUAGCAAUGAUGUGUUUUGUGCAUAAUAUGUUGAGAUUAGAUCCCACUAUUAGAAAAACUAAUGUCUAACUCAAAUUUUAACAUUUUGAAAUUCUUUCAAUAUUAAAUACUUGAAAACCUUAUGUCCGUUGUUGGCUGGAUCGUCUUUGUCCCAUUAUCCUCUCUAACCCAUCCUUUUUACGUGUUUUAAAAUUAUAAAUAAUAUAUAUAUAUAUAUUUAUAUAUUGUAAAACAAAAAAAUUAUAAUAAUUAAUAUUUUAUAAAUGAAAAUAAAAGAUUACAAAAGUAAUCUGUUAUAACAAUUAAAUAUCUUUAAUUAUAAUUAUUCUCAAUCAUAAUUUCUUAUUGCAGUCAAUACCCAAUUGAAUUUUGGUUCAAGUAAGAAAGAUAAGAUGCAUUUUGAAUAGAAAUUUUAAAUUCAAAUCAUAGAGAUCAUCACGAAAAAAAGAAAAAAAUAAAAAUUUCGUAUAGUUUACAGAGAAAUCCCAGCAAAGAAUAUGACGUCGUUUAUUUUUAAUCACUUGCAAUGAGUGAAAUGACGUCGUUUCCUUCUUGAAGCUUAUUUCUCUCCUACCACACGGUGUCGUUUUAUCAAGUGAUAAAAGCAUCCCUUGAAACCUCAGCCUGCUUCUUUUUCCCCGCUUGUCUGGCUAGGACUCUUACCGAGCCGCACCACCUCUCUUCCACGAUGGUUCCUGGGUUUCUCUCCCGGCCUUCCGUUCUCGAGCCGCAACUCCUGAUCACUUGCUUUAGCUUACUUUAGACGCUAACCAAACAAGAUAGCUUUUUUUCAACGCCAAAUUGCCCAACACUCUAAAAACCGUUCCCUUAUCUCACAAAUCUUAGAUCUCAGAUUUCAGAUAUCAAAUAUCAGAUCGUUUCUUACUUUCCUUGAAGAAAUUGUGUUGUGAUGGCCGAUUUUCGUCUUCAAGGUAUUUGUCAAUCUCAAUUCACAGAGAUUGCUGCUGAAAGAGCUAAAGUAGCUGCGGAAGAAUAUUUCAAGUUGGGAAACAUCGACAGGGCUAUUCAGCAAGGGUUCGCAGCACUCGAUUUGAACCCCAAUUUACGGAUCGUGCAGAAGUACAUUGCCGCCUAUUUGAUUCACAAGUUUGCUUCUAUGUUAAGUCUUUGCCAGAAAAUGAAGGUAGACGAUACCAAAGUUCUGUACUCCAUUCUUUUUAUCGAAGAUUGUUCUGCCGUAGUUGAUGCUGCGACUAUUAGAAAACACUACAAAGAAGUGGUACUAUUGGUCCAUCCGGACAAGAAUGAUUCAGUUGCAGCAGAUGGUGCUUUCAAGAUCGUUCGUCAGGCUUGGGAAACUCUCUUAUCUGAUCACAACAAAAGAAGAAAGACUCUACGAAGAUGAAGUUCUUUGGUUUGGAUUAGAUUCAUUUUGAUAUGUAUUCAAAUUUUUUAUGAAUAAUAUGUAGUUAGUUUUUAUUUUGUUCUGAUUUUGUUACUUUUCUUAGAUUCAAUUUGAUUUGAUUUUUAGUGUCAGUCCAAUUUCAUAAUUAAUCACAAUUAUGAUUAAGCAUUCCAAGUUAAAAUGCUACCAUCAUCAAUCCAUAAUAUAAUAUACAGAGUAAAUUGAAGCAAAUUAUUUGAAGAACAUUCUGAUGUGGAUUUUUUAGGCAAUGAACAUUUUUUUAAGUUUUUAGAAUUUUUUUGGUUAAUUUUGUUAAAAUAAAUUGCUUUGUGUUAUAUAUUUUGUAAGUCUUUUUUGUUAGUUUGAAAUUGAAUUCUGGGUUCAAUAUGUUAUUGUAUUAAGAAACUAUGUGUUUUGCUUGCUUUAGUGUUUGUAUCGGUGCUGCAGUUGUUCACUUUCCAUACAAUCAAAUUAAAAAAAAAAGGGAAAAAAAUCAAAAUUUUCACAAAAGUUACCGUAAUAUAUUUCUUUUUAGGGGUGAUAGUUUGUUGAUUAUUCAUUAUUUCAAUGUCAAUUCUUUUUUUUUUUGGCUCAAGUUAAACAGGCAUUGAAAAACCAAUACUUGCUUGCAAAAGAAGAACCAUAUUGGUUCUAUGUGUCUUUUGAUUCUUCAAUUGUUAUCAAUUGCUUGCUCAUUUGUCCAGAUGUUCCCAAAUGAUGUUUACUUAGGCGAAAUCAUUGAUGCUGUAAAGUCUUUCAGGUUUGUUAUUCGGUUUUUCUCACUCAGAGGUUGAAUCACAAUUUAUCAUAUGUUUAUUUUGGCAUAAGUGUGCAUGUGUAGUGGUAAUAAGGCUGCUAAAGGGAAUAUAAUUUGUCAGUUUUUAUACAUAGCAAACCCUAAGUGUGAUUUCCUGGAAAAGCAGAAGUCCAAGAAUGGACUAUACACUUUCCUCUUUAUCUUUACUCAUAUCUUAGUGUUUUACUUUCCAAAAUGAAAGUUACCUCCAUCUCAACCUUACUGCUAUCUGCCCUAAAGACAACCUUACAUCCCAUUCAUAUCCAUUUAUUCAUCAAUUUAUGGUCGCAUCACAUGAUUUAUCUAUUAGCAACCAAUAUUCUUCUUUCAGACUUUCAGUCAAAGUUCUUAUUGACAGGAAGAGGUUUAACCUGAAACAGCAACCUGCCUGGCCUUCUUUUGGCUCAUUUGAACCUUUAACCUGUUUUCCUGGGCAGUCACCAUUGAUUAUAAGCCUAAAUUACUCUUGUUGUUUCUGUGCUAAAAGUAAUGCUGCUAAUGUCUAGUUCUGGCCAACUUUUGCUGAGCUGUUUGCAAUAAUUGUCGUAUACACAUUUAUGUAAAGGUACAUUUUUUCUUGGGCCUUAAUUCGCAUACCACGUAGUUCUCUCCUGAAUCAUUUUUUUGUCCCAUUUGUAAAUGUUAGGCUAUGAUUUGAAUUGCCUUGUUAAGGAGGCAUUAUCUAUUGAAAUGUUGCUGGCAGCUAUCCUCUAACUUAAGGGUGCAGGAGACACGGUCUUCAUUGGAGUGGUUGUGUUGGUUUAUCUGAAUCUUUACUGCAUAAGUGUCUGGUGAAAUGAAUCAAUAAAAAGAAGCAAAAUCAUUAAGGGGAUUUUUAGUGUGAAUGUGUAACUUAGGGGUGAUAAUGUUUUAUUUUUUCCUGUUUAAAUGAGAUGAUAAUGUUUUAUUUGAAUGUAUAUAGCAUGAAUCAGAAAAGUUGCGAUAAUGAGGGAUAUUGUAUCGUUUGAGGGUGGUGGUUGUCGGUUAUUUUGAUAGACAAAUGGAGGUAAUAUUUGGAUUCGGGUGCAUUAAUGAGAUGACUCUAAAAAUUAUGAGGUUAAUGUAGCAUAAGGUUCACAUAAUUUAUAAUGCCAUAAUCAUAAAUAAGCCCUUCACAUGUGAUAAAAUCCUCACUUAAGCCCUUAUUGUUUUGUUUGCGUCAAUUGAGUCCCCAACCUAUUAUUUUGAUGUCAAAUGAAUCCAAUUUGAAUGGGAAAUGCUGACAUCGCUAAAGGUGUGACUUAUUCCAACAUACAUGAGUUAAUUGGGGACAUUUGAAAUGUCAGCAUUUCCAUCUAAAUUGGAUUCAGUUGACACCAAAUGAUAGGUUGAUGGCUCGAUUGACACAAAUAAAAUAAUAAAGGCUUAAGUGAGAAUUUUACCAUAAUUUGAGAGCUUAUUUUGUUAUUAUGCCAUUUAUAAUUUACGAGAAGCAUUCUUGUCUGAAGUAUGUUUCAUUUUAAUUGUUACUUCUAUGCUUUUCCCUUUUCUCUUUUCCUUAGCUAGCCGCAUUUCAUGUUGAUUUUUUCCGGCCCUCCCAAAAGUCAAUGUCUGUUUGAUGUUUCCAUUCCUGCAUCUAUAUGUGCUUUGGAUCUGGAUUGGUUCCAAGGACCAUGCAUGGAAGUUAGUUCUAUGCUGAUGUUACCAAAUGAAUGCUUAAUAUGUAGUAAAGAAUGAUGUUGAAAAGCAAAAGGAUCUUGUGAAGACGUAACUAGUAUCAAACAUGGUAAACUGAGCAGCACCUGCCGACACAUUGUUAGUUACGUGUUUUGUCAAGGACCUCACCCUCUAAUCAUACCCAUGGAUGAGGCAUAUCCAGGUCACUGUCUGAUUGAUCAAUUGCAGCUGGCUGCUGCUUUUUAGCUUCUCUGUGGGUGCAUGUGUUAACAAGUGUGUGCAUAUUGAUGUUAGUUUUAAAGCUGUCGAUGAUAUGCAUAAUGGAUUACAUUUAGAAAAGAAAACGGAGAGAAGGUUAUUUUUUUUAUCUAAGCAUGUUGGUUUUGAUCAUAGAUCUGGAUGCUGACUUCUGGUUUGAAUUUGUUGAAUGUGGCUUUAGUAGGAAAUGAAUGCUUAUUGCCGUAAAUCCUGAUUUCUUUAAUUGUUCUCAUACUCAUUUUGUCAAAUACAUUUGGUGCUGCAGCCUACUGUGUAGUAGCAGUUGAAUCUGCUGGCAGGCAAGUUCCAAUUGCAUUUCUGGAACGAGUCAAGGAAGACUUCAACGAGACAUAUGGUGGAGGAAAAGCUGCAACUGCUCCCCCGGAUAGCGUGAAUAGAGAAUUUGGGUAUUUAACUGUCUUUAUUUUUCUCGUAGAUUUAUUGUUCACUUCUUCGUGACAUGCUUAGCUCUUUAUACAUAAUAGGUCCAAAUUGAAGGAGCAUAUGCAGUAUUGUGUGGACCAUCCUGAAGAGAUCAGCAAACUUGCCAAAGUGAAGGCUCAAGUUUCUGAAGUCAAGGGUGUUAUGAUAGAAAACAUUGAGAAGGUAAUAGGCUGCUGCUGAUGUUGUAGCUGUUCUAGAGGUAGUUUGAGGGUUAAAACAUGAUAAGAUGCACAUCCAGCUUCUGCAAGUUGCUAGACGCGUUAUAAAAUUGAAAGCACUUCAGAUAUAUUGCAUGUGGUGUGUUGUUUUGUUAGUAACAUUUGGCUUUGGCCAGGUCCUUGAUCGUGGUGAGAAAAUUGAGUUGCUGGUGGAUAAAACGGAGAACCUUCGCUCACAGGUUAGUCAUAUUCAAACUGCAUUUUAUGGGUAACUGAAACAAUGACUUAAUUGUGUUUUGGUGAAGCCAUUGCCUUUCAAAGUUGGUUUUAAAACUUAUUAGGAUUCUGAUCAAUUUCGGUUUUCUAAUUUAAAUACCGUCUUUUAUGGUUUCUUGAUGCCUUGUAUAUUGGCGCACAGUAUGAUGCAUUUAACUUGAUAUACGUAAGAUGCAGAAUAUGAUACAUUUAAUUUGAUAUUGCAUUACAGGCGCAAGACUUUAGGCAGCAGGGAACUAAGAUGAGACGAAAGAUGUGGCUUCAGAAUAUGAAGAUAAAAUUGAUUGUUUUGGGUAUCCUUAUUGCUCGAUUCUUAUCAUUGUGCUGUCAGUCUGCCAUGGCUUUAAAUGUUAAUCUGUCCUGGAUUUCCCGGGUACAGCUCUUGCUGCCCGGGUUGUCUUGAUAGAUUGGUUUGUCUUACAUGUUUUUGAAGGGCAUAUAUUUCUCCCUUUGCUAGCCUUUUAGGAUAGGGGGAGGCUUUGUAUCUUGGUUGGCUGUAUAGGUUAUAGUUUGAACUUGUUGCGGUAGAUAAAAAUUUCUACGGAGGAUUUCUUCUUUAUAUUGUAAUGGGGGAAUACUCGGAUGCCUGCAUAAUGUUAUUAAUCUGUUUUUUUUUUUUCUCUCUCUCUUAUCAUGUAAAUCCUUUUAUAUGCUUUUCUUUAGAGGUAAGUGGACACAGUUGGUUUUGUUAAAUUUUUUAAUGCUUUGGAGCCUAUGGUUGCAUGAGUAGCUCGGUGUCUUUACCGUCCGCAUGGAAGGUCUUUAGCUCUAAUGAUUAGAGAGAUGUGUAUGAUUGAUUUUCCCCCGCUUACUUUGAAGUCUUGUUUUGAGGAUCUAUUCUUUCUCCAUAGAGAAAUUUGGGGAAUAAGUAAAGAAUGUUGAUGAGGGGUUGUUUUGUUAAAAAAAAGAAAAAAGUUUGUUAAAAAAUUAGUUUUACUAUAAAAACAAAUCGAAUUUUAUUUGACAAUUGGUUCCCUUUCGAUUUUACAUUAUUCAAAUAAAAAGAGUUAGAUUAUUUUUGCUUGAAAACGACUCAAUUUGUGUUUCUAAUGAUACAAACUAUUAAGAACAGUGUAAAUCGAGUUUGAGUAAUGGAAACUAAUGUCCAUAGAACAGAUUAUAAUAUAUAAAAAAUUGUAGCAAUGAUGUGAAGUAGAAGCACUACUGUCUUCGCGGUUUUGUACAUAAUAUGCUAAGAUUAGAUGCCACAAUUGAAAAAAUUAAGGCUUAAUACAAAUUUUAACAUUUUUGAAUUUUUUCAAUAUUAAAUAUCUAAAAACCUGAUGCCUGUUGUUGGCUGGAGCAUCCUUGUCCCAUUAUCUCUUUGACCCACCUGUUUACGUGCUUAAAAUAUAUAUAUAUAUAUAUAUAUAUUAUAUAACAAAGUAAUUUUUUGUAAUUGAUAUUUUAUAAAUAAAAAUAAAAGAUUACAGAAGUAGUUAGGUACAAUAAUUAAAUACUUUUAAUUAUAAUUAUUCUCAAUCAUAAUUUCUUAUUGCAAUCAACACCAAUUUGAAUUUUGGUUCAAAUAAGAAAGAUAAGAUGCAUUUUGAGUAGAAAUUUUAAAUUCAAAUCAUAGAGUUCAUAAAGAGAAAAAGAAAAAAUAAAAAUUUCGUAUAAUUUACAGAGAAAAUGACGUGGUUUAUUGUCAAUGGCUUGAAAUGAGUUACAUGACGUCGUUUCCUUCUUAAUGCUUAUUUCUCUCCCCUCACACGGUGUCGUUUUACCAAGCAAUAAAUGCAUCCCGUGAAACCCUGGCCUGUUUCUUUUUCUUCCUUGUCUGGCUAGGACUCUAACCGAGCCGCACCACAUCUCUUCCACGAUGGUUCCUGGGUUUCUCUCUCGACCGUCCUUUUCACUUGCCUUAGCUUGUUUUAGACGCCAACCAAACGAAAUAGCGUCUUUUCAACGCCAAAUUGCCCAACACUAUAAAAACCGUUCCCUUAUCUCACAAAUCUUAGAUCUCAGAUUUCAGAUAUCAAAUCUCGGAUCGUUUCUUACUCUCUUUGAAGAAAUUGUGUUGCGAUGGCUGAUUUUCGUCUUCAAGGUAUUUUUCAAUCUCAAUUCACAGAGAUUGCUGCUGAAAGAGCUAAAGUAGCUGCAGAGGAAUACUUCAAGUCGGGAAACAUCGACAGGGCUAUUCAGCAAGGGUUCGCAGCACUCGAUUUGAACCCCAAUUUACGGAUCGUGCAGAAGUACAUUGCCGCCUAUUUGAUUCACAAGUUUGCUUCUAUGUUAAGUCUUUGCCAGAAAAUGAAGGUAGACGAUACCAAAGUUCUGUACUCCAUUCUUUUUAUCGAAGAUUGUUCUGCCGUAGUUGAUGCUGCGACUAUUAGAAAACACUACAAGGAAGUGGUACUAUUGGUCCAUCCGGACAAGAAUGAUUCAGUUGCAGCAGAUGGUGCUUUCAAGAUCGUUCGUCAGGCUUGGGAAACUCUCUUAUCUGAUCACAACAAAAGAAGAAAGACUCGAUGAAGAUGAAGUUUUUUGGUUUGGAUUAGAUUCAUUUUGAAUGUAUUCAAAUUUUUUUAUGAAUAAUAUGUAGUUACUUUUUAUUUUGUUCUGAUUUUGUUACUUUUUUUAGAUUCAAUUUGAUUUUGAUUUUUAGUGUCAGUCCAAUUUCAUAAUUGAUCACAAUUAUGAUUAAGCAUUCCAAGUUAAAAUGCUACCAUCAUCAAUCCAUAAUAUAAUAUACAGAGUAAAUUGAAGCAAAUUAUUUGAAGAAUAUUCUGAUGUG
rnacentral:lncRNA from 1 species